ensembl:snRNA U2 U2 spliceosomal RNA
AUCACUUGUCCGCCUUUUGGCUAAGAUCAAGUGUAGUAUCUGUUCUUAUCAGAAGUUACUUUCUGGUUUUGUCCCACAAAUUAUGAUUGUUUAACCUAAUAAUUACAUUACUCAGAUAUAGGGCAAGUCUUCAUGUAUACGCCGCUCAAAGUAUACUUUAGGGCAGGGUUU